AUAUUGCACAAUGGGCGCAAGCCUGAUGCAGCCAUGCCGCGUGUAUGAAGAAGGCCUUCGGGUUGUAAAGUACUUUCAGCGGGGAGGAAGGCGAUAAGGUUAAUAACCUUGUCGAUUGACGUUACCCGCAGAAGAAGCACCGGCUAACUCCGUGCCAGCAGCCGCGGUAAUACGGAGGGUGCAAGCGUUAAUCGGAAUUACUGGGCGUAAAGCGCAAGCAGGCGGUCUGUAAAGUCGGAUGUGAAAUCCCCGGGCUCAAACUGGGAACUGCAUUCGAAACGGGCAGGCUAGAGUCUUGUAGAGGGGGGUAGAAUUACAGGUGUAGCGGCGAAAUGCGUAGAGAUCUGGAGGAAUACCGGUGGCGAAGGCGGCCCCCUGGACAAAGAAUGACGCUCAGGUGCGAAAGCGUGGGGAGCAAAC
rnacentral:rRNA from 1 species